rnacentral:rRNA from 1 species
CGGGACGGGCGGAGUAAUAGUCUGGGAAACGUGCCUGAUGAGGGGGAGUAACUACUGGAAACGGUAGCUAAUACCGCAUAACGUCGCAAGACCAAAGAGGGGGACCUUCGGGCCUCUUGCCAUCGGAUGUGCCCAGAUGGGAUUAGCUAGUAGGUGGGGUAACGGCUCACCUAGGCGACGAUCCCUAGCUGGUCUGAGAGGAUGACCAGCCACACUGGAACUGAGACACGGUCCAG